AAGACUGAAAUGAUCUGCACCUCUCAUCUCUCACAAAAAUCAACUCAUGAUGGAUAACAGAGUUUCCUGCAUUCAUGACUCAAACCCAAGAGUGAGGCGGGAGUGGUUACUGCAAUCCCUGUAUGGCAAAGAGCAACCAAAAAGAAGGUCCAGAGGCAGCACGGGCAGAUCACGGAUCAAGGACAGGAAUGGCUACCUGGUGCACCACCUGAAAUAAGGACUGCAGACUGAGGAAGGGAUGACAAGGGCUCUCAUGGAGCGAUUCCAGAAAAUGGGAACAUAUGCAAAAGAAGAGUGAAUAGUAUAAUGAACAUCUACAUAGCCAGCUUUAAAUUAUGAACUCAUGGCCCGUCUUGUUUCAUUUAUACCUCCACCUGGUCUGCUAAAUUCUGGAUUAU